UCGCCGGCGGCAGCCGCUGGGGCUGGGGGCGGCGUGUGGGCCGGGGGGGGGGCGGCGGCUCAGGGGCACCCGCCCGGCGCUGCCCUCCCGCCGCCAGGGGGCGCCGCGGCCUCUCCACCCCGCCCCGCUAUUGGCUGUUGGCCGCAGGCGCCGGCACCGCUGAUUGGCCGGCGCGCGUGGGUCCGCCCCGCCCUCCGGGUGCCCGAGAGUUGAACACGUUCCGCUCGCCGCCGCCAGGGGGCGCUGUGGCCGCGGGAGGGCGGGGCGGAGCGGAGCGGGAGCCGGCGGCGGGAGCAGGUUUUACCGUCGCCGGUAAGGCAGCCCCGGGACCGGAGGUGUGAGGGACUGGUGGGCUCCCGGGGGCUCCCCGGAGAGGGGCAGCAGAGGGGCUCGUUCCUGCCCCACUGGCGGUGAGUAACGGCGCCCCGGGAGCGGCCCCGAGAGCUGGGGGCACCUGGCUUGGCUCCGGCCCUCCCGGCUCCCGGCCUCAGCUGUCGGCACUGGCUGUGAAGAGGGGUUUGUUUCUUCCCCCAAGAGCUGCAGCGGGUGCCCAGCAGGGCUGGGGCUGGGGGGCAUCGUGCCCCUGGGCUCUGGGGGCAGCAGGGCUGGGACCGGAGCCGCAGCAGCAGUUCUUCAGCUCACCCAGACAAGAACAGCCUUUCUGCAGGAGUUUCCACUGAGAUAACGGGUGUAAUUCAAUACACUUCUGUUUGCUUUUGGUUAAUGCAGUUUAUUAGCUGAUGCGUUUCUUUCCCCCCCCACCCCUCCAGGAAACAGAGUGGUUUUUUGUCCUCCAUCCCUCUGCGGGCCCUUCCCGCCCGUGUGGAGCAGAGCUCUCGGGCACGACGGCCGCUCGCUCGCUGGGCUGCCGGCGUCGGGGCAGCCGCUGGCGCUGGGGCCGCUCCCGGCACUGUUCCUGUCCUACACCGCGAUGUGAUGAGGUGGUGGAGCUUUACCGGAGAUGUGGGCAGGGUUUGUGGUGAAGUGAAACAUAGUGAAGGAUGGCCCGGCCCUGGACGCAAGGCCUUUGCUUCGUGGAAGCCGAGAGCUGUCCCUGAAGGAUAAAGGACACCCCCAGGCACCCAAGGCUCGCUCCUCGCUCAGCUUGGGCUGGCUGGGAAUUCAGGACAGGUGCCGUAUCCUGCUCCGCUCCUCUGCUUCAGGGCCAGCACACGGGGCAGCCACAGCUGAGGACAUGCUGUGGUGGGAGCAGAGGCCGCUUCAGGGAUCCACGCCGGACCCUGCAGCCCUGUCAAUGAGAUGCUGAAGCCAGUCUGGCGGGGCCUGGGGCAUAAUGGCUGUACUGGUGCUGCUGGUGCCUCGGGAGGUGUUGGCGGCACAGGCGAUGUGCGCGUGGCUGUGCCCACGCCUGGGGAAGGCUCAUCGCGGCGCCUGGACGAGGAGCGCAGCCCCGAGGCGGCGAGCGCCGGGGAACACCGGUCACAGAGGACGUGCCGGGUGAGGUCCAGCUCAUGGAUGGCUCGGGCUCAUCUCAGCUCCUGUCCAUUGUGGCUCCAGCUCAGCUGCAGCUUCAGGUCCAGCUCCUGGCUGCUCCUGGUCAGUUUUGGCUCUGGUUUCUGGUGCAUCUUAUGGAUGGCUCCGGCUCAGUUCAGCUCCUGUUCAUUGUAGCGCCAGCUCAGCUGCAGCUUCAGGUCCAGCUCACCAAAGGCUCCAGCUUGUGUUUGCUUCAUUGGAAGGAACAACGCUAACAAAAGAAACCCCAGCAAGCUUCAGACGCCGGUUGUUUUUGGCUCUCGUUUGGGCUCAUCGCCUCUGCCUCCAGCUGCUCUCCAGUGUGGCUCCAGCCACUUCCAGCUUGUGCUUGCUCAAGUGCUCCUGGCUUUUUGCCAAGGUUGUCAAUCAAUCACUGUCACAAGUUCUAUAUGAAUAUGAACUGUCAUAAUUGUACAUGGUCUAAAUAUGGCCCAAUGCCCCUCCCAGUAGCUGUACACACCUUGAAUAAAGAGUUGAACAGUCAUGAAAAAA